rnacentral:rRNA from 1 species
UGGGGAAUAUUGCACAAUGGGGGAAACCCUGAUGCAGCGACGCCGCGUGAGCGAAGAAGGCUUUCGAGUCGUAAAGCUGUCCUAUGAGAAGAUAAUGACGGUAUCAUAGGAGGAAGCCCUGGCUAAAUACGUGCCAGCAGCCGCGGUAAUACGUAUGGGGCGAGCGUUGUCCGGAAUUAUUGGGCGUAAAGGGUACGUAGGCGGUUUUUUAAGUCAGGUGUCAAAGCGUGGAGCUUAACUCCAUUAAGCACUUGAAACUGAAAGACUUGAGUGAAGGAGAGGAAAGUGGAAUUCCUAGUGUAGCGGUGAAAUGCGUAGAUAUUAGGAGGAAUACCGGUGGCGAAGGCGACUUUCUGGACUUUUACUGACGCUCAGGUACGAAAGCGUGGGGAGCAAACAGG